UACGUAGGGUGCAAGCGUUGUCCGGAAUUAUUGGGCGUAAAGAGCUCGUAGGCGGACUCUUAAGUCGGGGGUGAAAUCCUGGAGCUCAACUCCAGAACUGCCUUCGAUACUGAGAGUCUUGAGUCCGGGAGAGGUGAGUGGAACUGCGAGUGUAGAGGUGAAAUUCGUAGAUAUUCGCAAGAACACCAGUGGCGAAGGCGGCUCACUGGCCCGGUACUGACGCUGAGGUGCGAAAGCGUGGGGAGCAAACAGG
rnacentral:rRNA from 1 species